CGAAUCGAUGCUGAAACAACAUAACCAACUCAAACAUCAGGCGCCAAAACCAUUUGUCUGCAAUGAUUGUCCCAAGGGCUUCACCUCGAGAAAAAAUUUAAUUAUCCAUAUCCGCUCGCACACGGGCGAGAAACCUUACAAGUGUAAGCGCUGCCCGAGGUCCUUCUCCAUGAGGGGUAACCUCGAACGACACCAUAAGACAGUGCACCUUGGCGUCCGCGGUUGCUACGCGUGCAGCAUCUGUGGGAGCACAGUCAGUACCAAGCAUUC